UUAAAUUGAAGAGUUUGAUCAUGGCUCAGAUUGAACGCUGGCGGCAGGCCUAACACAUGCAAGUCGAACGGUAACAGGAAGCAGCUUGCUGCUUCGCUGACGAGUGGCGGACGGG
rnacentral:rRNA from 57 species